UACGGAGGGGGCUAGCGUUGUUCGGAAUUACUGGGCGUAAAGCGCACGUAGGCGGCUUUGUAAGUUAGAGGUGAAAGCCCAGGGCUCAACCCUGGAAUUGCCUUUAAGACUGCAUCGCUAGAAUUGUGGAGAGGUGAGUGGAAUUCCGAGUGUAGAGGUGAAAUUCGUAGAUAUCGAGAGGAACACCAGUGGCGAAGGCGAGUCCCUGGACAACACCUGACACUGAGGCACGAAAGCUAGGGGAGCAAACAGG
rnacentral:rRNA from 1 species